AGAGUUUGAUCCUGGCUCAGAGCGAACGCUGGCGGCAGGCCUAACACAUGCAAGUCGAACGGACUCUUCGGAGUUAGUGGCGGACGGGUGAGUAACACGUGGGAACGUGCCUUUAGGUUCGGAAUAAGCUCGGGAAACUGGGUCUAAUACCGAAUGUGCCCUUCGGGGGAAAGAUUUAUCGCCUUUAGAGCGGCCCGCGUCUGAUUAGCUAGUUGGUGGUGUAAUGGACCACCAAGGCGACGAUCAGUAGCUGGUCUGAGAGGAUGACCAGCCACAUUGGGACUGAGACACGGCCCAAACUCCUACGGGAGGCAGCAGUGGGGAAUCUUGCGCAAUGGGCGAAAGCCUGACGCAGCCAUGCCGCGUGUAUGAUGAAGGUCUUAGGAUUGUAAAAUACUUUCACCGGUGAAGAUAAUGACUGUAGCCGGAGAAGAAGCCCCGGCUAACUUCGUGCCAGCAGCCGCGGUAAUACGAAGGGGGCUAGCGUUGCUCGGAAUUACUGGGCGUAAAGGGAGCGUAGGCGGACAUUUAAGUCAGGGGUGAAAUCCCAGAGCUCAACUCUGGAACUGCCUUUGAUACUGGGUGUCUUGAGUGUGAGAGAGGUAUGUGGAACUCCGAGUGUAGAGGUGAAAUUCGUAGAUAUUCGGAAGAACACCAGUGGCGAAGGCGACAUACUGGCUCAUUACUGACGCUGAGGCUCGAAAGCGUGGGGAGCAAACAGGAUUAGAUACCCUGGUAGUCC
rnacentral:rRNA from 1 species